rnacentral:rRNA from 1 species
UACGUAGGUGGCGAGCGUUGUCCGGAUUUACUGGGCGUAAGGCGCGCGUAGGUGGCCUGCCAAGUCUGGGGUGAAAUCUCUCGGCUUAACCGGGAGGGGUCUUCAGAUACUGGUGGGCUUGAGGGCAGCAGAGGUCGGUGGAAUUCCCGGUGGAGUGGUGAAAUGCGUAGAUAUCGGGAGGAACACCAGUGGCGAAGGCGGCCGACUGGGCUGUCCCUGACACUGAGGUGCGAAAGCGUGGGGAGCGAACCGG